rnacentral:rRNA from 1 species
CUACGGGGCGCUGCAGUGAGGAAUUUUGCGCAAUGGGGGAAACCCUGACGCAGCAACGCCGCGUGAGUGAAGAAGGCUUUCGGGUCGUAAAGCUCUGUCAGAUAGGAAAAAAGUUCAUAUGUAAAUAGCUUAUGAAUCUGAUGGUACUAUCAGAGGAAGCACCGGCUAACUCCGUGCCAGCAGCCGCGGUAAUACGGAGGGUGCAAGCGUUGUUCGGAAUUACUGGGCGUAAAGGGCGUGUAGGCGGUAUGGUAAGUCAGAUGUGAAAGCCCUGGGCUUAACUCAGGAAGUGCAUUUGAUACUGCCAUCCUUGAGUAUGGGAGAGGAGAGUAGAAUUCCCAGUGUAGAGGUGAAAUUCGUAGAUAUUGGGAGGAAUACCCGUGGCGAAGGCGACUCUCUGGACCAAUACUGACGCUGAGACGCGAAAGCGUGGGGAGCAAACAGGAUUAGAUACCCCCGUAGUC